GCAUAUCAAUAAGCGGAGGAAAAGAAACCAACCGGGAUUGCCUCAGUAACGGCGAGUGAAGCGGCAACAGCUCAAAUUUGAAAGCCCGCGGGCGUUGUAAUUUGCAGGCGGAUGUUUUGGGGCGGGCGCUGUCUACGUUCCUUGGAACAGGACGCCGCAGAGGGUGAGAGCCCCGUGCGAUGGCGCCUCUAACCGCGUAAAACUCCGCCGACGAGUCGAGUUGUUUGGGAAUGCAGCUCCAAGUGGGUGGUAAAUUCCAUCUAAAGCUAAAUACUGGCGAGAGACCGAUAGCGAACAAGUACAGUGAUGGAAAGAUGAAAAGCACUUUGAAAAGAGAGUGAAACAGCACGUGAAAUUGUUGAAAGGGAAGGGUAUGCGAUUAGCGGCCAGCAGGAGGUGCCUUCUCGUGAAAAGGCCGUGCACCGUCUUCGGACACCGUGCGCGGAGAUGGCGAGGGGGCGCCUGAGGUCUGCGAACUCGAGGUUG
rnacentral:rRNA from 1 species